UACACACAAGAGAUCUGAUUUCCAAUCAGGACGACAUAUCACUAUUACUAUCUCUCGCGGGCUCGGGGGUGCACCCCACGCCAGCCUGAUCUCCAAAACCUGUUCGUUGGUAUAAAAAAUGUAUACGAAAAUCUUGAACAUACAAAUUCGUAGUGAUACAUCCGAAAUAAAUACGGACUGCAACUGAUGACGUCGCCCUAUUAAAGGUGAAUGUGGACCUGCACCCCGGAAACACACUUUGUGAAGUCUAACGAUGUAAAAUAAACGUGUUAUGAUUGCAUUUUUAACGAGAAAUCAAUGUUAAAUUGUAAGAAUAGAACACUAUCCCUAACCCCCUCAAAAAAUCCAACAUGGCGGAGAGACGUUCACUCAAGAAUCCAACAUGGUCCGCCAUGUUGUUCACUCAAGGGGCGUGGUUAACCACCGCCAGUUCCUAUGUAUUGUUACAAAUUUGUAUGUUCAAGAUUUUCGUAUACAUUUUUACGAACAAGUUUUGGAGAUCACGUUGCCCACGCACACACACACACACCAGCAAUUAUUACUUGAUUUGGUGGCGAUGGCCGCUAAAAAAAAAAGCAUCCAUUUGGGGCAGUUCUGCCUUUCACAACCGAUUGUAACAUUAUUGAUGACAAAGUCCGGCCUCUCUGACAUUAUUGCUAAAUUAUUGCACAGCGGCCAAUUAUGUUUGUCAGUCAGCCUCAAUGAAAACACUGCUGAAUAUCAAGGCAAAUGCCUUCCACCACACGUAUCAAUUCGAUAUUAAGUACCAAAUAGUUUCUGACUCACAGAUUAGUUGAUUAUCUGUACAUAAAAUCCAUCCGCCGCUGUUUCCUCGUGAAGACGUCAAUCACAGCGUUGUAAACUUGUCUCAUAUCCGUGAUACUGGCGAACACAGCCCUCAUUUUGACUUUGAAUUUCGCUGUGUAGAGUUUCGGGUGUAGAGACGUCAGCUGCGCAAUUGUCCAGUAAUAUCUUGAUUUUAAUUGGUCCAUGUCUGAUACAUAACGUAGAUGAUUACUGGCAUAACCUAUUUAUAUGCAAAGGCACAGCAGAGUUGUGCUUUUUGACGUACAUGUUGUAGAGUAUAGGAUUGAAGUGCGCAUGCGCAACAUGGGUUUUUCGCUUGUCCGCGCUGAAUGGACGGUAAAAGCACUGCAUAUUCUACCAUUUCUUUGUAUUUGAUUAUGUGUAACGUAUCUAAACAAUUGGAAUAACACACAUAUUGCAUAUACACCUACAAGAAUAUAUGCAAUAAACAGUAAAAAUACGACUACAAGUUUAUUAAAUAAAAUGAUGUAAUACGUAUUUUUAUGUUGAAGAGAGUGGCAGGGUCGGCAAUGCCUACCAAGCACUGCCUGCCAAGUAACACAGCAAUGCAAUCAGCGCGCCUCUGCUUGGAGUCAGCUGACGAGCUGGAUAUCCCUCUGAGCUGGAUAUCCCUCUGGAUAUCCCUCUCACAGGACCUCAAGGCUCAGCGGAGGUUGUUCUUCCUGAGGCAGCUGAAGAAAUUCAACCUGCCAAAGAUGAUGAUGAUCCACUUCUACACGGCCAUCAUCGAGUCCAUCCUCUGCUCCUCCAUCACCGUCUGGUACACUGCAGCCACAGCCAAGGACAAGGGCAGGCUGCAGCGUGUCAUCCGCUCUGCAGAGAGGGUGAUCGGCUGCAAUCUGCCGUCCCUGCAGGACUUGUUCGCUUCCAGGACCCUGAAGCGAGCCGAAAAGACAGUCGGGCUCAUCAACAGAACCCGGGUCCCCCACCAACUGACUCUGACAUUUUACCGGUCACUUUCUUUCACACUGCACACGUCACUUUCACUUGUCACUUUCUGUUCACUGGUGCACUUUAUUUUUUCAUUUUUAAAUAUUUUUAACUUUUUAGCUUUUAUUCCUUUAUUUGUAAACUAACCCAUAGCCUUGUAUUACUAACCCAUAGUAUUAUAUUUUAUUUUAUUCCUCUUGCAUUGUUGUCUCGUGUUGUCCUCCAUUGUCGUACUGUCUGCUGUCAUUGACCAACAGCCAAGUCAAAUUUGCUUGUAUGUCUGACAUAUUAUGGUAAUAAAUGCUGCUUUGAAAAUAUAAACCUACUUCAACGUUUUAAUAAAUAAUAAUAUGUAUAAAUA
ensembl:lncRNA